ensembl:misc_RNA
CUGUCACCUCAGGUGUCUGAAAUCUUCUAUCUAGCCAUGGAACAGACAACAUCAGCAGCAGCACUGCAGGCUCCCUGACAUCACCCUGUCAAUGUAUUGUACUGCAACCCUGUUCUGGGAGGAAUCACUGCUAGAGGUGAGAGUAGUUUAGCCUCUGUUUAUUUAAUUUUUGUCCUCG